rnacentral:rRNA from 1 species
AGUGAACGCUGGCGGUAGGCCUAACACAUGCAAGUCGAACGGCAGCACAGUAAGAGCUUGCUCUUACGGGUGGCGAGUGGCGGACGGGUGAGGAAUACAUCUGAAUCUACUUUUUCGUGGGGGAUAACGUAGGGAAACUUACGCUAAUACCGCAUACGACCUACGGGUGAAAGCAGGGGAUCUUCGGACCUUGCGCGAUUGAAUGAGCCGAUGUCGGAUUAGCUAGUUGGCGGGGUAAAGGCCCACCAAGGCGACGAUCCGUAGCUGGUCUGAGAGGAUGAUCAGCCACACUGGAACUGAGACACGGUCCAGACUCCUACGGGAGGCAACAGUGGGGAAUAUUGGACAAUGGGCGCAAGCCUGAUCCAGCCAUACCGCGUGGGUGAAGAAGGCCUUCGGGUUGUAAAGCCCUUUUGUUGGGAAAGAAAAGCAGCAGGUUAAUACCCCGCUGUUCUGACGGUACCCAAAGAAUAAGCACCGGCUAACUUCGUG